AUGUUAGCUAAGUGGGUAAUGUUAGCUAAGUGGAUAAUGUUAGCUAAGUGGAUAAUGUUAGCUAAGUGGAUAAUGUUAGCUAAGUGGAUAAUAUUAGCUAAGUGGAUAAUGUUAGCUAAGUGGAUAAUGUUAGCUAAGUGGAUAAUGUUAGCUAAGUGGCUAAUGUGGAUAAUGUUAGCUAAGUGGCCAAUGUGGAUAAUGUUAGCUAAGUGGGUAAUGUUAACUAAGUGGGUAAUGUUAGCUAAGUGGAUAAUGUUAGCUAAGUGGGUAAUGUUAGCUAAGUGGGUAAUGUUAGCUAAGUGGAUAAUGUUAGCUAAGUGGGUAAUGUUAGCUAAGUGGAUAAUGUUAGCUAAGUGGGUAAUGUUAGCUAAGUGGGUAAUGUUAGCUAAGUGGGUAAUGUUAGCUAAGUGGAUAAUGUUAGCUAAGUGAAACCACAGACCUGAUGAUGCCACUGCUCCUGGACAUUUACGCUACACCGGAUUCACCGGAUUCUAUAGAUGUACAUCAAAUAGACAUUCUGUUCGCUAUCUCAACAGACCUGUGUUGAUUGACAGUUUGCUGGUCCAAUCAGAGGGCCGAGUGUGCGUUUCACUAGCCAAUCUGUUGCACAUUUUUUUUUGCAAGAGCGAUGCCAUGGAUACUGUCUUGGGCUGCGUGGAGAGGAAUCCACGGAAACUCUGUGCCACAAAAUGAGUGACAACAUUACACAUCCUGGCCAGAUCAUUUGCAGUCAUCAGUCUCAAGUCAAAAUUGAGUCCUGAGUCUUGUGGCAUCAAGUCAAGUCUCAAGUUAUUUUAAUGUCUAUCAAUUUAAGUCUCAAGUCAUCAAAUGUGUGACUCGAGUCAGACUGCUGUACACUACUACUACACACACACACACACACACACUACUACACAUACACUACCCACUACUAUACACACACACACACACACACACACACACACACACACACACACACACUACACAGUACUACACACACACACACACUCUUCACAUUACUACACACUACUACGCACUACUAUACACACACACACUACUACUACACAGUACUACACACACCUUCACAUUACUACACACUACUACUACACAGUACACAACUACACACACCUUCACAUUACUACACACUACUACACACUACUAUUUGGGAUGCUCUAGACUUCCUGUCUGCCAGGCCAGUGUCUGAGGUCCUCGUGUCAGUCAGCAUGCAGGGCCUCUCCAGGACCGGCCCCAUCCAUCAGAGCACCAAGCUUGGGCCCUUAAGGCUCAAUAUGGUGGGUCUCCAUCAGCAUAACACUGUGUUAGUGUUAGGACGUGUUCUAAUCUACUGGGCAUUCCUCACCUGACCUGUGGCCUGCUAGUGAUCCCACGUUGCUUUCAUCUGCCACUGGAAACAAAACACACAGAGGCCACAAAGUCAAGACAUACGAGAGGAGAGGAGAGGAGAGGAGAGGAGAGGAGGAGAGGAGAGGAGAGAAGGAUCAGACCAGGCAGGGAGGAGAGGAGAGGAGCGAGGGAUCAGACCAGGCAGGGAGGAGAGGAGAGAGGGAUCAGACCAGGCAGGGAGGAGAGGAGAGGAGAGAGGGAUCAGACCAGGCAGGGAGGAGAGAGGGAUCAGACCAGGCANNNNNNNNNNUGUUAACUAAGUGGAUAAUGUUAGCUAAGUGGAUAAUGUUAGCUAAGUGGAUAAUGUUAGCUAAGUGGGUAAUGUUAGCUAAGUGGAUAAUGUUAGCUAAGUGGGUAAUGUUAGCUAAGUGGGUAAUGUUAGCUAAGUGGGUAAUGUUAACUAAGUGGAUAAUGUUAGCUAAGUGGAUAAUGUUAGCUAAGUGGGUAAUGUUAACUAAGUGGGUAAUGUUAGCUAAGUGGAUAAUGUUAGCUAAGUGGGUAAUGUUAGCUAAGUGGGUAAUGUUAGCUAAGUGGAUAAUGUUAGCUAAGUGGGUAAUGUUAGCUAAGUGGAUAAUGU
rnacentral:lncRNA from 13 species